UUGAAAAUGGGGCUUUUUUUCCUGCCGUCGAAGCUCUACCUCGUAGACAAUAGUGUCCCGCGUAAUAAUGGUCACACUUUAGAGCCUUUGAGAGGUGGGUUCUUAAGGGAGGUUUUCCCCAGCGCAAUCGAACCCAUUGUCAAUGCAUUAGCUUUACUUGUCUGCGAGCAUUUACGAUUUGUCACGCAGCUCAGAAUCUGCAUCUGGUGAGCGGCGCUCGGCUAAUUACUUUUCCAUCAAUAUUCUGGUCCUGGCGGACACGAGCCCGUGUGAUGUUGGUCGUCCCAGUUAGUGACGUGCGUCAAUCGAUUGUUAGCGGUAGACAGGUUCUUUGCCAGCUGACUGGCCGGUUACCUAUUUUUGCUUCGGUUAACCUUCAGAGCAGUUGUUCGACGUUUGUAUGCUGGAUGUGGUUCGCAGAUUAAGCGGUGUAGCAGUAGAAGUCCCUUUCGCGUAUGCUGAUUAGCUCAAGGUCGUUUGGCAUCAUGUUACAAGGGGUCUGGAGAAUUGUGGACACUUUGACGGGGUCCCAAAUAUUGAUGGUUUCGUCCAGAGGUUUUUUGGUGAUUUCCCAGGCAUGUUAGAUUUCCGUGGUGGUCCGGCGGCAGCGAUGGUUAUCAGUCUUCACACGGUAGAACAGAGUGUAAAAUCCUGUUCGGAUCGCUUCCCUGAAUAGUCAGCCCUAUGAAUAUCCAUUGAAGAGUAAAUUCGGCCCGGUGCUACAUGCUACAACGGCGCCGGACUUCAUGCGGCAGGACCGGGGCUCAAGUCUCAUCUGGGCCGUUCCCCCAGAGUGAGGACUGACUAUCCAACUAUGCCAACAAGCCAGAAAUGGCAGGGAUGAUCUUAAGAGGUCGUUAGGCCAAGAAAGAAAAAGAAGAAGAAGUAAAGUCAAGGGAAGGCAAAUGCCAAGACCUCCCGAAGCAGUAGAGCCAUAAAAAAAA